AGGAGGUACCAACCUCUGGCGGUGGGUCUUGCGUCCCGGCGGAAAGCUCCGAGGAGUCCUGUAGACUUGUGGCUCGGGUGGAGCCGGCGGAAAACCCCGAGAAGCUUGAGACAGCCGUGGCUGAGGUGGAGCCGGCGUCGCUGCCCUGGAGCGUGGGCGAGUUUCCUCUUAGCCGGAGCUUCAGGGAUUGACUCAAAGACUCCUCCGCUUUUUUAGUUGUUUUGGGUGUGAAUACAGCCCGGACUAAACCUUAGUCGCCUAGACUAAACCUUAGCCUCCCAGGCUGCCAAAACAGCACAGCUUUUACAGAUGACUCUUACAUCACCAUCCCUACUCUGUGAUACUGUGUUUUUCAAAGUUUAGUGCCUGAACCAUCAGCAUGAAAUCUGCCUGAGACGGUUGUUGAAAAUUCACAUCGCUGGGCCUUGCGGCAGGAUGCCUCUUGAAGCCCAAGUGGAAGCCAACAGAAGAGGGGUCCAUGUGUACAGAUAGGCCUGGAGUGAUCCAUGUUCCAACAGCAGUCCCUUUAACCUCACUUGAAUGUGGAGGCUGCACAGGUCACAAGUCUGAAGACUACAAGCUACCUUUGC
rnacentral:lncRNA from 1 species